AUUGAACGCUGGCGGCAGGCUUAACACAUGCAAGUCGAACGAGUGGCGGACGGGUGAGUAAUGUUUGGGAAUCUGGCUUAUGGAGGGGGAUAACUACUGGAAACGGUAGCUAAUACCGCGUACCAUAGGAUGAGCCCAAGUGGGAUUAGGUAGUUGGUGGGGUAAAGGCUCCCCAAGGCGACGAUCCCUAGCUGGUCUGAGAGGAUGACCAGCCACACUGGAACUGAGACACGGUCCAGACUCCUACGGGAGGCAGCAGUGGGGAAUAUUGCGCAAUGGGGGCAAGCCUGACGCAGCCAUGCCGCGUGAAUGAAGAAGGCCUUCGGGUUGUAAAGUUCUUUCGGUAGCGAGGCGUUACCUACAGAAGAAGCACCGGCUAACUCCGUGCCAGCCGCCGCGGUAAUAC
rnacentral:rRNA from 1 species